rnacentral:rRNA from 1 species
AUCAGCCGCGGUAAUUCCGGCUCCAAUAGCGUAUAUUAAAGUUGUUUGCAGUUAAAAAGCUCGUAGUUAAAUUUCGGGAUCAAUAUGUUGGUCGUGCCUUGGUACGUACUAGUUUAUUGGUUUCUUCCUUCUGACAAACCAUGGUGUCAUUAAUUUGAUGUCAUGGGGAAUCAGGACUGUUACUUUGAAGAAAUUAGAGUGUUUAAAGCAGGCUUCACAUUAGCAUGGAAUAAUGAAAUAGGACGUUUGAUUCUAUUUUGUUGGUUUCUAGGAUCGACGUAAUGAUUAAUAGGGAUAGUUGGGGGCAUUAGUAUUCAAUUGUCAGAGGUGAAAUUCUUGGAUUUAUUGAAGACUAACUACUGCGAAAGCAUUUGCCAAGGAUGUUUUCAUUAAUCAAGAACGAAAGUUAGGGGAUCGAAGACGAUCAGAUACCGUCGUAUUCUUAACCAUAAACUAUGCCGACUAGGGAUUGGAUGAUGUUAAUUUUUUAAUGACUCA